rnacentral:rRNA from 1 species
GACGAACGCUGGCGGCGUGCUUAACACAUGCAAGUCGAACGGAAAGGCCCUGCUCUUGUGGGGUGCUCGAGUGGCGAACGGGUGAGUAACACGUGAGUAACCUGUCCCUGACUUUGGGAUAACUUCAGGAAACUGGGGCUAAUACCGGAUAUGGGCUUCUGCUGCAUGGUGGGGGUUGGAAAGUUUCGGCGGUUGGGGAUGGACUCGCGGCUUAUCAGCUUCUUGGUGAGGUAGUGGCUUACCAAGGCUAUGACGGGUAGCCGGCCUGGGAGGGUGGCCGGCCACAUUGGGACUGAGAUACGGACCAGACUCCUACGGGAGGCAGCAGUGGGGAAUAUUGCACAAUGGGCGGAAGCCUGAUGCAGCAACGCCGCGUGCGGGAUGACGGCCUUCGGGUUGUAAACCGCUUUCGCAUGUGACGAAGCGUGAGUGACGGUAAUGGGUAAAGAAGCACCGGCUAACUACGUG